CCUACGGGAGGCAGCAGUGGGGAAUAUUGCACAAUGGGGGAAACCCUGAUGCAGCGACGCCGCGUGAGUGAAGAAGUAUUUCGGUAUGUAAAGCUCUAUCAGCAGGGAAGAAGAACGACGGUACCUGACUAAGAAGCCCCGGCUAACUACGUGCCAGCAGCCGCGGUAAUACGUAGGGGGCAAGCGUUAUCCGGAUUUACUGGGUGUAAAGGGAGCGUAGACGGCUGUGCAAGUCUGAAGUGAAAGCCCAGGGCUUAACCUGUAGACUGCAGUUGAAACUGGCUUUCUUGAGUGAAGUAGAGGUUGGCGGAAUUCCGAGUGUAGCGGUGAAAUGCGUAGAUAUUCGGAGGAACACCGGUGGCGAAGGCGGCCAACUGGGCUUUAACUGACGCUGAGGCUCGAAAGUGUGGGGAGCAAACAGGAUUAGAUACCCUGGUAGUC
rnacentral:rRNA from 1 species